AACACUCCAUCUCCGAUCACGCCUCUAACCAUCGUUCAUCCCAAGAGUGUCGGCGAACUUCCCGCGAUUCGUUCGUCGAGCCCGCGCGUCCCCGUGUCCCACUGUCGAAUUGUAGCAGCGGGUAACGAAAAGAAAACACGGAAUUAAUUGGUGUUUGCGGAACACCGGCCACAAAGGCGAAAGAGGUAGGCGCGCGCUCUCGUUUGCGCGGGAAAUUGAUUCGUAUUUGCGUGAACGUGCGACAGAACGUGCUCGUUAGCCACCGGACGAUACGAACCGGGCGCCACGGUGUUUGCUAGCCGCAACGUAAACGUCGCUCGAACGUGGUAUAUUUAUGGCUGUAUCGUGAAACCCACUCGUGCCACUUUUUCGAAUCGCGAUUAGGUCGUUUUAUUUCCGGAACGUCGGUCAAGGACGUCGAUACUGGACCGAGCUUAAAUUGGAAAUUGAACGUCGACGCAACGAAUGCUAUGCUUCUAUACAGAUUCGACGAGAUGUCCAUACUGUACGUUGGCCCGACAGGGCUGAGAUUUCCAACGCGAAUUAACAUAUAUACGCGUUACAUUUAUAAUACGGUUUCUCCUACGUGCGUGUUAUGUAUAACGUGACAUUUAUACAUUUCGCCUCGGCUAUAUAACCCGUCAACCCCAACCCACCCCCUGUUUUUGAGCGACGUGCCCGUGGAUCGUAAACUUUAUACAUUAUUGCUUUGCCGAUAGCCACGUCACGUACAUUCGAUCCGGUUCACGUUCGUCCGUUUUCGUCGAAAUUCUAUCUACUAAUUGCAUCGACGCGUUCCGCCAACUGUUUCGUGACUUUUCUUUUAAUUUUCGCAAAGAUUCACAAGUCCAGCAGGAACGCGUUGAUAGACAAAAUUCGAAAUAAAUCGACGUACGUUCGCUAAGUUUAACCCAGCUGUCUUUCUCGGUUCUAUAUGGUUUCAUUUCGAUAGAUAUCAUUAAAAUAUACAUAGCUUUUGAACAUUUCAUUUUACCUCAAUUCGAUGUAAUAUUCGUACCUUUUACGCAUUCCACGUCUUUUAGAAAUGAAAUAAUUCGAA
rnacentral:misc_RNA from 1 species